rnacentral:rRNA from 1 species
GCAAUGGGGAAUUUUGGACAAUGGGCGCAAGCCUGAUCCAGCAAUGCCCCGUGAGUGAAGAAUGCCUUCCGGUUGUAAAGCUCUUUUGUCAGGGAAGAAACGGCUGACGAUAAUACCUUCGGCUAAUGACGGUACCUGAAGAAUAAGCACCGGCUAACUACGUGCCAGCAGCCGCGGUAAUACGUAGGGUGCAAGCGUUAAUCGGAAUUACUGGGCGUAAAGCGUGCGCAGGCGGUUUUGUAAGUCUGACGUGAAAGCCCCGGGCUCAACCUGGGAAUUGCGUUGGAGACUGCAAGGCUUGAAUCUGGCAGAGGGGGGUAGAAUUCCACGUGUAGCAGU